UCAGGCUAAUAACGGACAGCCCGGGGUCCUGAUACAGCCAUUUGAACAUGUUUACCUUCUGAACAGAGAGAGAGAGAAAGUUAUGCAAAAAAUAAUAAAGCGGAUCGGACCCAAAUAUGUCUCCAUUGCCAGGAUGUGGGUUCCCACUCGGCCGAUUCUAGAUUAUGUUCCCUAUAUUAGAGGCAAAUUCAAGAAGGAUGACUAACUUAGUUGUUCAGCUCCUUAUGGAUCUGAGGAAGGCGGUUGCUGGGCUUUUUUACAGGGAACAAAUAAAGCUGAUGCUUCGACUAGCCAGUAGGCGGCUCCAGUGAUGCCACAUUCAGCCAUAAAGACCGAAGAGGAUUAUCUGUCACUUUAAGACUUUUUUGUACUGCUAUGGUUGAAUAAUACUUCAUAUUGUCUUAAUGGUGUAUUAUCAGACUGCAGAUAGCUAGCUUGUCUUGCUAAUAAGUUGCUGUCUUUCUGUACAGGGAUUGUUUUAGGCUUGCUCAUGUAUUCCAGCACAAUCCCGCAGGAUUUUCGAGUGGGAUUUCCUGCACGACUUAAGCAGAAUGAACAAGUAGUGAACUGUGCUUAAAAUAAAU